UGGUAUCCUAGUGGGUUUCACAUUUUCAUUCCUGGCUUUCCUUCUGCCCUGCAACCAUUUAGAGCUCCUCCUGGCUUGGGGGUGGUGCCUGUUGCUGUUCUUGUCACUCUCCUAGGCCAAGGGCCUUGAAGCAGGAUUUUUGAAUGUGUGAGGCAUGGAUUUCUGCAAGAUCUGCAUUUGAAUAGUGGAGUAAGAGGAGCACCUGGAAGAACAGCUAAUCUGAGAAUAACAGCUGAUUGAAACUCCUGCUGCUAUCAAGAAAAGAUUUUGAAAAUUUGGCUGCAAACCAGAAGCAGAACCGUACUGCACCACACCAGCGCAAUAAAUACUAAGGAAGGUUGAACAUUUCACAAAAGGAAAACUACCAGAAAGAGUUUGAGGUUUUGACUUCAUCCAGAAGCCUCUGGUUUACUUUAGUACUAAAAUUUCCAGCAAAACAGACUUAAUUUUUGCAAUGUUUUUUGGUUUUGACAGAGCUAAGCAUUCUGCCAAACAUGCUUCUGGAGAGAAAAGAUUUCCAACACAAUCUCUGCAGUAACAGAUGCAGGACUGAAGACUGGAAGUGACAUGAAGCAUAGAAGGUCCAACCAAAAUUACACUGGGCAGCAACAGGAAUGAACUUUGAAAAUCCCGAGUCUGAGCAAUACAGGGACAAGCUGGAGCCCUUCAGGAAUGACCUAUGAGAUACUCUGGAACCACCACUGGUCUUGGUCCCAGUUUGGACAGAUGCCACUGUAGAAUACCUACAGGUUAAAAUAUGUGCAAAGACUUUAUAAGGUGAGGCUUAUGAAGAACCCGUAUUGGUUGGACUAACAAGAUACCACCUGUCCCAACACACUUCACUUGUUGAUGUUCAUACACCAUAAGAUCAAAUGCUAGAAGAAUAUGUGGUUUUGUAUUUUGAGGAUCUUUCGUACCACAUCUGCCUCAUUUCUGAUGACACAGAAGAGGCAGUGGUCUGUGAGAGCUUGGCAGCAGCAGAUUUAUUUCCAUGUUCUAUCUCAAGAAUGAAAUGGUCCUUAUCAAACACAACCAAGUGUGGAAAUGGAGCUUUUGGGAGCACAUGCACUUGUGACCUCCCCACUCUGUCAUAGGAGGGAUCUGUUAUAGGUUGGUUCUUUCUGAAUCCUUCCCUUGUUUUAGCCAAACUCUUCCAGAAGAGUUGGAAAACCUUUAAAGCACCACUUCCCAAAGAAGCGACUGAGCCAUGUGUGGGAAAGCAGCCAGAGCCCAGGAAAAGCUGCUAGAGGAUGUAUGCUAAUGAGGAUACUGGUAUAUGUCCUGGUAGAUGGGAUAAUGAUUGAGCCUUCUUAGGUGGGAAGAGACGAGGAAAAACCAUUGGAAAAGCGCCAGAACAGAGUAGUUAGAAGUUCUUUCAUUUUGUAUUAUGAAGUGGCUGAAGGCUGCCGGCCUUGUUUGAAUUUAAUGGGAGCUUGUCCUUGUCCCGUGUUCGUGCUGCAUCACAGGAGUCACGGCCGUCGGAUCCUGCGAGAGCGGGUGCCCGGCUGGGCGGAUGAGCGGCUGCGGCACCACCCAGGUAACGCUGCUGCGCAGGUAACGCAGGCGGGCAGGGCUGCUGCCCCGUCCCCACCCCGGCUCACUCCGGGCUGCCUGGACCCUGAUUGCCGUGACAGCAUCAUCCCCGUCCAGGCUUACCCCAUCCUCUGGCCGAACCCGAGCUGGACUCAGGUUGUUGUGUUGCCGCGGGGCACUUCACCGUGCCCCCCAUCUGGCCAAGCGUUUGCAGGCGCCGGUGCAGGGCUGGGACGGGAACACCACGGGAACGCGGGGACGAGCACCUCUCGCAGCAGCACGGUGUCCGUGUUGCAGGGCUGAGCAGCCGAUCGCUCCGGCUGUGCACUGCCGGCCGC